UCCCCGAUAGCUCAGUCGGUAGAGCAACGGACUGUUAAUCCGUGGGUCGCAGGUUCGAGCCCUGCUCGGGGAG
rnacentral:tRNA from 1 species